rnacentral:rRNA from 1 species
GACGAACGCUGGCGGCGUGCCUAAUACAUGCAAGUAGAACGCAGUUGGGAACGGGUGAGAAACGCGUAGGUAACUGCCUCAUAGCGGGGGAUAACUAUUUGAAACGAUAGCUAAUACCGCAUACUUUGAGAUGGACCUGCGUUGUAUUAGCUAGUUGGUGAGGUAAAGGCUCACCAAGGCGACGAUACAUAGCCGACCUGAGAGGGUGAUCGGCCACACUGGGACUGAUACACGGCACAGACUCCUCAGGGAGGCCGCAGUAGGGAAUCUUUGGCAAUGGACCGAAGUCUGAACGAGGAACGCCGCGGGAGUGAAGAAGGUUUUCGGAGUGUAAAGCUCUGUUUUUAGAGAAGCGGUAUCUAUCCAGAAAGGGACGGCUAACUCCGUGCCAGCAGCCGCGGUAAUAC